ensembl:lncRNA
CUUAUCUGAUUUUAAGUGGCAGAAUAGAGACGCGGUGGACUCUGGGAAGGGAGAGGCCCGAAACUAUGCCAUUUGUCAUUGUAAUAUAAGGAAACGUAGCUGAUUACAUGGCCAUCAAUGAUUGGCUCUUCAAUGGAGUCAUUCAUUAAAUGCUAUAAUCAAUGGCAGAGACUGAAGGAGGUUUAAAUUCUGGAAAUGUGAGGCCACUUGAAGAAUCAGAAAAUGCACGACAGGGAUCAUGUGCACAAAAAUAAUUUUCUGAUGCCCUCUGAGAAGUUUUGAAUAUCAGAAGGAGAUCUGUUCUGCGAGAUAUUUUUGCAUAUAUAUACAAGUCUGGGUUCAUAUAUUUUUUUAAAGAAAUCUAUGUCUCUUCUGCUCAUCAACGCUGCAUUUAUUUGAUCAAAAAUAAAGUAAAAAGACUAAUGCUGUGAACUAUAAUUUCAAGUAACUGUUUUCCAUUUGACUAUAUUAAUUUAUAUCUGUGAUGCAAAGCUGAAUUUUCAGCAGCCAUUACUCCAGACUUCAGUGUCAAUUUCUUAUUAUUACCAAUGUUCUUAAAGAGCUGUUAAAAUUAUGCACUUUCUCAUUUUGUGCUGUUCUGCAUUUAACCUCAUUUAAAUGUUGUUUUUCUUAAUACUUAAAAUAUGAUGUCAUUGUAAUAGUUUGCAUUUUGAAUUCUGAUUGGGCUUCCUUGUAUCUCUUUACCCUAUAGCUGUUGUGAAGGUGCUAAAAAGAUGGUGACCAAUGGCAGACUGUGAAAGUGUUAAGGAAACCUGUUUGAAAAUGGUAAAGCCAGCGCAGGUGCUUCGGUCUCAAACAUGCAGGACUUCUAUCAGACAUAAUGCCCUUCGUAACACAACACUCUAUUGACGAAGACUGAACAGGUGCUUUAACUCUGAUUAAUUCAUCUGAACCAGACAGAGGAUUAACGCAGUCAUUGCACUCUUAUCUGGAGCACUGCCUGGACACCAGCGUUGCCGCGCUACCAAAUGGACCUUUCUAAUGUGGACUGAAGGGUG